CACCGCGGUUAUACGAACGACCCAAGUUGAUAGAUGUUGGCGUAAAGCGUGGUUAGAGAAUAGAAAAACUAAGACGGAAAGAUUCUUGUACUGUUAUACGUGUUUUAGAAGUCGGAAACCCAACUACGAAGGUGGUCUUAAUUAAUCCUUGAACCCACGAGAGCUGUGAAA
rnacentral:rRNA from 1 species